AUUUGGAUUUUAUGAAAUAAAAUAGGGUUUAUGUUUUGGAUGAUUUCAAGAGUUUUGUAGUAGAUCUACAAGUGAAAUUUUGUGGGUUUAUGGUUAUAAUUGUGUUUAAUAUAAAUCGUGAAUUUGAGCUCGAUCUAACGAUUGAAUUCAAGAAUAUUGAGGUUUAAGUGGAUCAAGGUCUAAGAAAGUAGAAUUUUAGGUCCAGUAGGGUUUUUUAAGAUUUCGUGCAAUUCGCUGGUUGGAUUGGAGUGAAACUUAUGUAAUAGGAUAUUAGACUUAUUUUUCUAUGUGUAUGAGAAUUUUGAGAUGAAUCAAACGGUGUAGAAAAGAGAUAUUAGCUCUGGAAAAUUGGCAUUAAGAUUGGAGAAGGAGGCCGGCCAAUAUCCGAGCACAUUUUUGAGCAUAUCGUCAAUUUGGUGACUCCGAUCCUUUUCAAUUUUUUUGUGCUUGUUUUGAACUUAGUUUUUAAGAUGUGUGAAAAAUUUGAGUUAAGAUCAACGGUUUGUUAAUUAGUUAUUGAGGUUUAAAUCUGUUGUAGGAAUUACUAUGGUUUGGUUUAGGAUUUGAUUAGGGUGUGGUUAGGAUUUGGUUUAAGGAUUGAUUAGGGUAUGGAUUAAGGUUUGGUUUAGGGUUUAAUUAGGAUUUUAUUUAGGAUUUAGGAUUUGUUUUAGGAUUUGGUUAGGGUUUGUUUUAAGGUUUGUUUAGGGUUUGAUUUAGGGUUUAGGAUUUUAUUAGGAUUUAAGAUUCAAUUAGUUUUGGCCUAAAGUUUUAAUGAAGUUCAAUAGGAUUUUAACUAGAAUUAAAUUAAGAUUGAAUUGAGAUAUAUUUGAAUGAUAUUUGUGAUCCUUCUAAUAUUUCUUUAAGAAUUCUUAUUGUUUAUUUGAAAUUUCUUUGAGGUAUUUUUUGAAUUUGAUUAAGCUUGCUUAAUAUUAUUAUGGUCUAAUUAGAGCAUUGUUAGUAUUCUAUUAGAAUUAGGAUUUUGUUAUUGCAAUUUCCAUUCUUCCUUCCACAGCUAGGUGCCCGAAGCAUUGUCAAGCAAGACUUCACGUAUUACGACA
rnacentral:lncRNA from 1 species